CGAACGCUGGCGGCGUGCUUAACACAUGCAAGUCGAACGCGAAAGGGACUUCGGUCCUGAGUAAAGUGGCGCACGGGUGAGUAACGCGUAGAUAACCUGUCUUCAUGUCUGGAAUAAUACGCCGAAAGGGGUACUAAUACCGGAUAUUCUUGCUUUUCGUAAGUUAUGCAAGCAAAGGUGGCCUCUGCAUAUGCUACUGCAUGAAGAGGGGUCUGCGUACCAUUAGCUAGUAGGUGGGGUAAUGGCCUACCUAGGCGACGAUGGUUAGCGGGUCUGAGAGGAUGAUCCGCCACACUGGCACUGGAACACGGGCCAGACUCCUACGGGAGGCAGCAGUGAGGAAUAUUGCGCAAUGGGGGAAACCCUGACGCAGCGACGCCGCGUGAGUGAGGAAAGGCCUUCGGGUCGUAAAGCUCUGUCAAGAGGAAAGAAGUGUACAAUGGCUAAUACCUGUUGUAUUUGACGGUACCUCUAAAGGAAGCACCGGCUAACUCCGUGCCAGCAGCUGC
rnacentral:rRNA from 1 species